AGCUGGCAAAAUUGCACUGUAGAAAUAAACAGUGUUUUGGACCACAUUUCAGUUUAUUUACGAAGCUGCCACUGUCUCUCUCUGCCACUGAUUUUGACGCCGCGUGUUGAUGAUCGUGGAAAGGCAGGGUACCAUUCUCUUCCUCCCCUAUUUCUCUCUCCCUCAGAUCCCAUUCUCUUCAUCAUUCUCUUUCUCUCUCCCUCAGUUUCAAUCUGCUCACCUAAAAUCCCCAGAUCGAACAUCAUCCAUCUCAAAUAAAAAAAACCUUCCCCCUUUAGAACCUAUAGAAUCAGCACUCAUGGAAUAAUCAUUGAUUUUUGUUGAGGUGAUAAAAUCAUGAUGUGACGAUCGUAUUCUCUCUCACAGCUCACAACGAUGAAAUCGCACAGGGCUUCGUUGAUUUCUGUCAACUCCGACCACGACCAGUGUCGGUAUGUUUAGACGGUUCGGAUGCGCCUAAUAAACAAACCUAAUUUGCCUCGCGCGUUCAGUCAUCACCUUCCUUCGUCUAAAACCUCAUGCAAAGACAGAGCUCCCCCAAAACCCUAAACGCCCAAAGUAUUAAUCACAAAGCUACGGAGCUGAAAUUGCAAACGCUAUCCAUGGCUCGCUUCAAAAUUAAGAAGAAGGUGUUUGUGAAGUCGGUUUCGACGAAGAAGCAGGCUAAUAUGGAUCAUAUCACAGGGGAUAAAAUCCCAAGGGGCUUAGCGAAGUGUAUGUCUUAUGUUGAGGGAUUCUGUAUCAAAUUUGUUGUUGGUUUGUUUUCUUAAAGGUUGAUCCGGAUGAAGUGAAUGCCCUGGCUCAACUCAUGACAUGGAAGACUGAUGUGGCCGACAUUCCAUAUGGUGGAGCCGAGGGUGGAAUCGGAUGCACCCCCAGGGACUUAAGUUUGAGCAAGUUGGAGCGUCUGAUCACGUCUUCGCUCAGAAAAUCCAUGACCUCAUUGGAACUCAUACUGAUGUUCCCGCACCCGAUAUGGGCACCAAUGUUCAGACCAUGGCAUGGAUGUUGGAUGAGUACUCCAAAUUUAAUGGUCACUCACCAGCUGUUGUCACUGGAAAGCCCAUUGUAAGUAUUCGACACUGACAAAAUUAAGCCAAAAAUCAGUUUCCUGGAGUUGAAAAUCACUGAUUGCAUUAAAAAAAAGGUUCCCAGUUAAUCAAGUAUAGCUGGAAAGGGAAGCCAAAACUUUGUCCAUUCAGAAUUUCUACUGAUGAAACCACACUAAUCCGGUAUUCACAUGUAGAAGAACGAACUCCGAAAUUAGCUUCUGUCUCUCGAAUUAUCCCCGGACAGAGAACAAAUUUGAGAAGGUGGUUGUGGUUUCGUGCGAUCGCCGUUAUGCAGCUCAGACCAUCACGAUUCACUAUUGUAACCCCAUCACUGCCGUCGCGACCACCGCCGCCACAUCACCGCUGUCGAAAACACUAGAGCCAACGGUAUGUUGCUAGCGAAGGCAAAAACAAGAUGCAGUUUGCUGCAUAUAGAAAACGGAGAUUAAUUUGGUUCUUGCUAAAUGAAUCAAAGAUCAUAAGACUAGAACCAGUGGUUUC